rnacentral:misc_RNA from 1 species
ACGAGUGCGGGUCCUCCGGGGCCCAAACUUCCAACCCUCUGUUUUCAACCAUGUUGCUUUGGCGGGCCGCAGCCCCCGCGGCUCCGUCGGCUCCGGCUGACGUGCGCCCGCCGAAGGUCACCAAACUCUUUUUAAUCGUACAGUCUGAGCAAAACAAAAUAAGCAA